CCUACGGGUUGCACCAGUGGGGAAUAUUGCGCAAUGGGCGGAAGCCUGACGCAGCGACGCCGCGUGGGGGAUGACGGCCUUCGGGUUGUAAACCUCUUUCAGUUGGGACGAAGCGGAAGUGACGGUACCUACAGAAGAAGCACCGGCCAACUACGUGCCAGCAGCCGCGGUAAUACGUAGGGUGCAAGCGUUGUCCGGAAUUAUUGGGCGUAAAGAGCUCGUAGGCGGUUUGUUGCGUCGGCUGUGAAAUCCCGAGGCUCAACCUCGGGUCUGCAGUCGAUACGAGCAAACUAGAGUGUUGCAGGGGAGACUGGAAUUCCUGGUGUAGCGGUGAAAUGCGCAGAUAUCAGGAGGAACACCGGUGGCGAAGGCGGGUCUCUGGGCAACAACUGACGCUGAGGAGCGAAAGCGUGGGGAGCGAACAGGAUUAGAUACCCCUGUAGUC
rnacentral:rRNA from 1 species